GAUGAACGCUGGCGGCGUGCCUAAUACAUGCAAGUCGAGCGAACAGACGAGGAGCUUGCUCCUCUGACGUUAGCGGCGGACGGGUGAGUAACACGUGGAUAACCUACCUAUAAGACUGGGAUAACUUCGGGAAACCGGAGCUAAUACCGGAUAAUAUAUUGAACCGCAUGGUUCAAUAGUUAAUGGCGGUUUUGCUGUCACUUAUAGAUGGAUCCGCGCCGGAUUAGCUAGUUGGUAAGGUAACGGCUUACCAAGGCGACGAUGCGUAGCCGACCUGAGAGGGAGAUCAGCCACACUGGAACUGAGACACGGUCCAGACUCCUACGGGAGGCAGCAGUAGGGAAUCUUCCGCAAUGGGCGAAAGCCUGACGGAGCAACGCCGCGUGAGUGAUGAAGGUCUUCGGAUCGUAAAACUCUGUUAUUAGGGAAGAACAAAUGUGUAAGUAAAUAUGCACGUCUUGACGGUACCUAAUCAGAAAGCCACGGCUAACUACGUG
rnacentral:rRNA from 1 species